CGCGUAGGCUGUUGAGUAAGUCAAAUGUGAAAUCCCCGGGCUUAACCUGGGAACUGCAUUCGAUACUGCUUAACUAGAGUAUGGUAGAGGGAAGUGGAAUUCCGGGUGUAGCGGUGAAGUGCGUAGAUAUCCGGAGGAACACCAGUGGCGAAGGCGACUUCCUGGGCCAAUACUGACGCUGAGGUGCGAAAGCGUGGGGAGCAAACA
rnacentral:rRNA from 1 species